GCGGGCGGAGCUGAUAGACGCACUGGAUUUAGGUACCAGCGACGCAAGUCGUGGGGUUCGAUUCCCUCUGCCCGCACCA
rnacentral:tRNA from 1 species